AUACCAUGGUGAGGGCAUUGACGAAUGAGCUCAUUGAACCUCUCCCAUGACUCUUGAAGAGUUUCAUCGGCCUUCUCUUUAAACGUCAUCAUCUUAGAACGGCCGUC
rfam:Spinacia oleracea cultivar SynViroflay scaffold33195.con0002.1, whole genome shotgun sequence.